GAUGAACGCUGGCGGCGUGCCUAAUACAUGCAAGUCGAGCGAACAGACGAGGAGCUUGCUCCUCUGACGUUAGCGGCGGACGGGUGAGUAUCACGUGGAUAACCUACCUAUAAGACUGGGAUAACCUCGGGAAACCGGAGCUAAUACCGGAUAAUUUAUUGAACCGCAUGGUUCAAUAGUGAAAGACGGUUUUGCUGUCACUUAUAGAUGGAUCCGCGCCGCAUUAGCUAGUUGGUAAGGUAACGGCUUACCAAGGCAACGAUGCGUAGCCGACCUGAGAGGGUGAUCGGCCACACUGGAACUGAGACACGGUCCAGUCUCCUACGGGAGGCAGCAGUAGGGAAUCUUCCGCAAUGGGCGAAAGCCUGACGGAGCAACGCCGCGUGAGUGAUGAAGGUCUUCGGAUCGUAAAACUCUGUUAUUAGGGAAGAACAAAUGUGUAAGUAACUAUGCACGUCUUGACGGUACCUAAUCAGAAAGCCACGGCUAACUACGUG
rnacentral:rRNA from 1 species